rnacentral:lncRNA from 1 species
AAUUUGAAGUGCCUGACUGGGUGGCCGGGAGACGGAGUCUCGGGGUCGCGUGCACCUGGGCGGCCAGGGAGGCUCCAGUGCCCGGGAGAAAGGCAAGAAAACUGAGGCACAGAGAGAUUGUCACACAGCCAGUUUCUUUCAAAAUGAAGAUUCACGCAGUGAUUGUAACUGUCUUGAUGAGCCAGGUUGUAGUUUACAAAGUUUUAUUCCAGAAGGAAAAAAGCCACUUCACCUAGAAAUUUUGCAAACAAAUCAACUUUUACUCUGUGAGUAAUCCAGGGCCUAUCAAGACUACAUUUUAGUUGACUGCAAGGCCUCUGAGGCACGGGAAUUCACAGCUGAGUUCUUGGAGAAGGUCCUUGAGCCAUCUGGAUGGCGGACAGUCUGGCACAUGAUGUGCUCAAGGUGCUGCUUGAGGCCACAGAUGUGGACAUUUCAGCCUUGAAGGCAGUGGUGCAGCUUGCUGAGCCAUACCUCUGUGAAUCUUGAGCGAGUACUUUCACCUUGGAGUGUGUGAAAGAGCUCCUCGAGCUGAAGGAACAUCAGUUGCCCCUGAAGGAGCUGGGUGGUGUUUGAUGAUUCUGGAGACAGCACUUGUAACUUGUAACUGAGCAUGUCAGCUAGGAAGGAUAGCCACUGAGCAAGCCUGUAAGGCUAUUGGUCUGCCCAUUCUGGUUUCUUCACCAAUGAGAAAACUGGGACCUGGGGAGUUUGCAGAAGCCAUCCAAGGGCACCUGCUUCUCACAGCACAGCAGCUUCCUGCAGCCCUCCCUCCUGUCUUGUUUCUCCCUUAAUUGAGAGGAGAGGCCAGAACCAGAUGCAGGCAGUUCCAACAGUAAUGAAUUGCUCUAAGGUGUGGAUCCAAGAACCGGUGACAAGGUCAGGAAAUUCCAUCCCGGGACACUGACCCAACUAAGAGACUGUGCAUGAUGGCUAAGUUCAGAGCUCUGAGGAGAUGGUAAAACUCAUUUGCAACGAAACAAGAUAUUUUCCAACUCUGCAGCCAGUUUCUGAUUUGAAAGUGGCUGAUUUGGGGAAUGAGUUCUGAGCACUCUGUGGGUUAUUACUGUAGAAACCAUCCUCCUGGCUGUCUCACCAUCAGCGCCACCUCUCCGUGGGUCUGGAGUCUUGAGGAGCCAGGACUGGACUGGGAUGUAAGGUUGGGUCUUCCGAGCUGUAGAUGGGAGCAGGAAGAUGUAUCUCCAUUCACGAUCUCAGUACAAGGCUCAGCUAUCUCCCGGCAACUCGCCCAUCAUCUGUUUCUGAGUUCUUCUGACAUACAGGUUCUUUGGAGGCGGCAUCAAGAAAAUACAUUUGGACAAAUCCUUCAUCUCAAAUAUUUUCCCCUCAUGAAACCAAAGGCAUUGCUCCAAAGUCAUUUCCAUUAAUUAGACAUGCAUCUUGUAUGACUGAAGGAGAAUCUAGUCCACAAACUCUGGGUUAAUUUUCUCUUCUGACAUCUGUGUGUAGUGUUUCUCUGAGGAGCUGAAUUAUCUGCUCUCCAGUGCCUUCCUCUCGGUGUUUUUUGGCCAGGAGCAAGGAGACAGGCAGCUGCAUUCUGGGAGCAGCAAGCAAUUCUGAGAACUGGAGCUGCUUAGGUUCUUUCACUUCUGCUUCAAAGGAAUACGUUGAGUUUGCAGAGAAUGAAGGAGAGAAAGACUCCAAGUUCCAAGCAGGGUCUUGGGGUAGUCUCUGAGCAUCCCAAUGUACUUACUUCCUCCCCACAGCUUCCUCACUGGGCUCCCAGCCACCAGUAUUUGUCUCUUUAAUCCCCCAACACAGAGCUACUAGAUGGAUUUCUUUCUUUCUUUUUUGUUUCUUUCUUUCGAUCGAUUUCUCUUUCUUUCUUUCUUUCUCUUUCCUUCUUUCUUUUCUUUCCUUUUCUUUUCUUUCUUUCUUUUUCUUUCUUUUACAUCUUCCUUCCUUCCUUGCUUCCUUUCUCUCUCUUUUUCUUUCUUUUAUGGUUUUUUUUUUGUUGUUGUUGUUGUUGUUUUUAGACAGUCUUGCUCUGUCACCCAGGCUGGAGUGCAGUGGUGCAAUCUCGGCUCACUGAAGUCUCAACCUCCUAGGCUCAAACAGUCCUCCAACUUCAGCCUCCCAAGUAGCUGAGACUACAGAUCAGCAAUCUGGCUAAUUAAAAAAAAAUUUUUUUUAGAGAUGGGGUCUUACUAUGUUGCCCAGUCUGGUCUUGAACUCCUAGCCUCAAACAGUCAUCCUCCCUUAGCCUCCUAAAGUGCCGUGAUUAUAGGCGUGAGCCACCAUGCCCAGCUGGAUUUUUUCUUUUAACUGUAGUUUUAUCAUGUUCUUUUUGCUUAAAAUAAACUUUUCUGAAGUAAAUUCUGGACUCUGCAAGGUCUUUGUUCUAUUUGUUAUGGUGUUUGGGCAAGCCCUCUGUUUUCCUGUCCAGAGCAGGCCUGGGACCUUUGCCUUCGGUGGCUUUCCUGGGAUCCCCCACUACCCAGAAGAGCAGGGCUAUUGCCUCUGCUCGUCCCCAGAUCCCAACCCUCCAUGGGCCUGCCCUGGAUCCUUGCUGUUGGAGGGGAGGCACAACUUCACCUCUACCCUCAUAGGGAUUUUUGGCUGCACCUGC